CCUAACUUUGUAUCUGCAGGAAAUCAAAGCCAGAGGCACUACUAGAAAAGGAGUCCCCUACUUUAUCCUCUAUUUUAGCUAAGCCUUUUUCUUCUUUUUUAGCCACCAAUGCUACCACCCCUUUAUACCAGAGCCCAUAUCGGGUUGCCUAAGCUCCCUAUGACCCUUCCUAGAUGCCAUGGUCACUGGUGAACAAUGAAUGAUCGGAAAGAACCAAGAAAAGGGCUAGAUCCCCUAUUUUUUGAGCCUUUUCCUAUGCUUUGUGCUGGCCAGUCAUUGUUGUCG
rnacentral:lncRNA from 1 species